GCACUUUCAGAAACUAAAGGUGGAGGAUGCCUUAUCUUACUUGGACCAAGUCAAAAUACGGUUCGGAAAUGAUCCGGGAAUAUACAAUAAGUUUCUGGAUAUCAUGAAGGAGUUUAAAUCUCAAAGCAUUGACACACCAGGAGUUAUCAACAGAGUUUCUCAGCUCUUCCACGGGCAUCCUGACCUUGUCCUGGGGUUUAAUGCCUUUCUACCGCCUGGUUAUCGGAUCGAAAUUCCCAAGAAUGGAAUGGCAUUUCUUCAGUCCCCGUUGUCCUC